UACGUAGGGGGCAAGCGUUGUCCGGAAUCAUUGGGCGUAAAGCGCGUGUAGGCGGCUCGGUAAGUCUGCUGUGAAAGUCCAGGGCUCAACCCUGGGAUGCCGGUGGAUACUGUCGAGCUCGAGUCCGGAAGAGGCGAGUGGAAUUCCAGGUGUAGCGGUGAAAUGCGUAGAUAUCUGGAGGAACACCGGUGGCGAAGGCGGCGUUCUGGACUGUAACUGACACUGAGGAACGAAAGCCAGGGGAGCAAACGGG
rnacentral:rRNA from 1 species